GGGUAAGGGCGGGACUGGCCCGCUGCGGGCGGACUGGGGAGCCGCUCAGCUAACGGGUCCGGACGCCGACCGAGGCGGCGGCUUUCUCUGCACUGGCGGCGGCGGCGGGAGCGGCGAGCAUGGCCCGCGCGGCGCCCGGAGCUGACUGAGGAAACCUGUAAUUGGCCUUUGAGUUGUCUGCCCACAAAGCCUGGUGAAUUUAUUGAGUCUGGAACUCUGCCAGCUGUUGUGGAGGAGAGGAUGACCAAGUCUCUGUCCACCGGGAGGAGGGCUGUGAGGCUGCCAAGGGUCAGUCCGAUAAGAGGGAAGAGCUGGACUCCUCGAGGUUUAUCCUCCCACCAGCUGCCUCCUUUCCGCUGGCCUCAGAUACUGACAGGCUAUUGUGGCCCUGUUCUCUCCCCUUCCUGACACAUACCGCCCCUGGCUGUGGCCCAGCUGGGCUUCCCCUGCCUGGCCUCCAGCUCCCGUUCCCAUCUGGGGUCAGAUGAAGCCUGCGCUGGGGGAGGGGUCAGUCCUAGAAAGCUGAGCCAGUUCCGAGUCAGCUUGGGGGUGGGAGAACCCAGGGGGUGGCCAGGGCUCUGGAGUGAGCAGCCGCUCCUAGACCUGCCU
ensembl:lncRNA